rnacentral:rRNA from 1 species
GAUGAACGCUGGCGGCGUACCUAACGCAUGCAAGUCGAACGGGGACUGUGUAGCAAUACGGAGUUCUAGUGGCAAACGGGUGAGUAACACGUGGGCAUCUACCUCGAAGUGGGGAAUAACGAGCCGAAAGGUUCGCUAAUACCGCAUGUGAUCGAUCACGAACGAAAGUUCGUGCGAUGAAAGGGUGCUUCGAAAGAAGCAUUCGCUUUGAGCGGAGCCUGCGGCGAUCAGGUAGUUGGUGAGGUAACGGCUCACCAAGCCUCUGACCGAUAGCUGAUCUGAGAGGAUGACCAGCCACACUGGCACUGAGAGACGGGCCAGACUCCUACGGGAGCAGCAGCGAGGAAUAUUGCACAAUGGAAGGAAACUCUGAUGCAGUAACGCCGCGU